CUGAACUGUUCCACAAAGUACAAGAGGCAUGUCUAUGUUUUCAGCAUGUGCAUGAUCAGUUACUGUAUACGAUAAGUUUAUAUGUUUUUGUAACUACAAAUAACUAUAAUAGAAAUAACUAUAAUAAAUAGAAAUAAAUUUGUUACUUUUUAAUAAUUAACAAAAUGUAUUCCCGUACCUAUACUGAAGAAAGUAGCUACAUGGUAUUAAUAAUUGUUUAGCAUUUUAGACUGAAAUAAUGUCUCAGUGUUCUUUUUAAUUACAAAAAUAGGUAAAUUAUGAUUUACCUAUGGGUUGAGCAUUAAAGUUCAAAACUUUUAAUGCCAAGAAAACCUAAAAGUUGUGAUUGGUAUCUUCUAAUUGUGCUUUGAUGUCAACAUUCAAAUGGAUAAGUUAAUGAUACUUUUUGAAGAUUUUACCAUUUUUGCCAAUGCCGUGCUAGAUAAUGGGGUCAAAAAAUAACAAGUGCGGCUGCCUGCAGAGUGAUCAGAUUAACCUUGUAACCAGUCCACCAGUCAUAUAAUUGUUCGUAAGUUACGUUUAAGGUGUUAAUCAAAAUGUUUAAUGUUAAAGAGGUUUACUUAUUAAAAACUUAAAUAACAUCUUAACUUCUAAAAUAAGACUGUACAGUUUUUAUUCCUAUAAAGGUUUAACUUGUAAUUCUAUUAUAUUGUAUUAUAAAUAGUAUUUUUAUAUUAAAAUGUCCUAAAUCAAUAUUAACAUGGAUUAUUACUAGAAUAAAUUGCAAACAUACAACCAAAACACAAUAAUUACAGUAACUUGACGUAUUAUUUUUUAUGAUGAAGUUUGAUGUCAGCUUUUUGCAAUGCCUUAUCUUGUAAACAAAUUCUAAUCAAGAACACAUUUACUCAGUAAUAGUCCAACUACGCAUUUAUCAUAUGAGAUAACUCAAUGUUACGUACUAUCAAACACAUUCUACGUAGUAAUAUGCAAUAAACUCAUUUAUGUCAUAAGAGAACAGUUUGCCAGUUAAACAGUUAAUUUUUCUGCAUUGUUUAGUCUUCCUAAUCCACUGUAGUUCAUGUCUACAGUAUUGUAGAGCAGCGUAUUGGGUUUUCUCUUGGUUACUCUGCUAGUAAUUUAUAUGUUUCAAUUCUCAAUAUUUGUCUCAGUUGGUUAUUAAUGUCACCUCCCUGUACUUGUAUGUAACCUAUCAGUUCUGAAUGUCUCAACUACUUUAUUUUUAUAUUAUAGGGCCUAUAUUAAUAAAUUCUUCUUUAUUUAUUCUAUACACGCUUUCAUGUACUUUUACCACUCUAAUUUUUCUAACUCUUUUCUUUAUUUUUUCUUAACACUUUUCUCUCUUCUAGGUCAAAUAUACAUCAGGUAAGAAUGUUUUUUUCUAUACUUUUCCGUCAGUGACCAAAUUUAUACAGUUCUUUGAACAGAAGGAAUGAAUAAAACUUGUAUAUUUAAAAUCUACAUUAAAAUUAUUUGAACAAUCUUGGAAUUAGCUACACAUGUGUUGUAAAUACAAAGCAUUAAAGCUAAACAUCAUCAGAAUCUACUUAGAAGUCAGUAUGCAAUAAAUUGCAAUAAAAUAAUUAAUAGCUGUCCUAUGUUUUAUGAUUGAUUUAAUUAUGAUUGUACCCACACUAGUGGUGGAGACAUGACCAAUAUUCUACAUGAUUACCAGUGAACUGACAAACUUUUCUCAGGAGACCAUUGAAGAAACAGUUCUGUAAUAUGUCAAACAUUACAUAAUAAACUGGGAGACAAGGAUUAUUUAAGAAUGAUAAUACCUAUCUAUUGAGUAACAUCUAUAAUAGACCAAAUAUUUGUAACAGUAACCCAGCAAACAUGCAAGACCGGUCUGUUUGUACAGAAACUGGUGGCUGGUCUUCUGUGGUAAAUUUCCAUUGCAACCCUAGCCUUGUUUGCCUGGCGACCUUUGCCUUUGUAGAUGAUUGUCUCAAGUUUGGAUUAAAUACACAUACAUGUGAGUCAGUGUGAUCAGCAGUCAAUUUAUGCACUCCUAACUGCAAUUUAUGUCCAAAAAUGUAACAUUACAAGUAUAAUGAUAACCCAUAAUAAGUUUUGGAUUAUCAGGGUUUCAUUAGGUGAAUUGCACAGUAAUGUUGUACAAUUGAACAGAAACAAUGAAGAGAUGUUGUAGCAAUUGCCAUAUACUUUUAAAUUAAUUUUACUACUUUAUUUUUGUUUAGAAAACAGUUCAAAGACGAGUCCUAUGUUUGUCUUUUUUCAACUGGUAAAAUAAGAAACAAUUUUUUUACCUGUUAUAGUUGUCCAAUUACAGAGAACUGUAAGCUUUCCUAAUCUUUUAAAAUUUUAAUGUUUAUUGCCAAAAUAUGUUCAAAAAUGUAUUUUAAUACAAAAAAGAUUUAGUGUGUUUAUCCUUCCAGCACCAAACUGUUUCUAAAUAUAUUUGAUCAAUUAAACUUUUCUAUUUGUAUUGUGUGAUUUGCUAACCAAUUCAAAUCUGAUGACUGGAAAUAGUUUUUUUUCUAUACAAAAUAAAAUAAAAAUUUAUUUUAUUUUCAUGUUUACAACUACUUUUGAAAUUCUUUGGACCUAAGAAACUAGAUACGAUUGACUCUCUACUAACACCUUAUUUUAAGUUGCUUUUUUAGAUAAAUAAUAAUAAUAAAAAAAACAUUAAAUGAAGAGAUGUCUUUAAAAUUAUAACUACACGAAAGAAAUUCAUGUCCAGUAAUAAUUCAAUUAGCUUUCUGUGAUCAAUUAUAUCAUCAAAAUUUCAAAAUUAUCAAAAUACUCAUAAGAGAGAAAUUUAGAAAGUUUGAUGUGUUUCAUGAGGUAAUAAACAGUUUAUUAUACUUUCCAUUAAUUUAUGACAUUUAAUAUUUUAGAACAGUAUUUUGAAACUGUCUAGUUAGUGAUUAGUAUUAGGUAGAUUUUUAAACAAUGUGACAGUUUCAUUACAAAUUUUAAGUUUUUUACUAAAUAUUUAAAUUUGAACAUGGUUGAAUUUUAUUGUUGAUUCAAGUAUGGCACAUUUACCUUUCAGUGGAUAUUUGUUUAUGAAGUAGAUUUUCUCUUUGUCGUCAUCAUAAUUGUUUAUCCGUAAGUCUUAAAGUCAGAUUUAUGGAUUCUUUACAGCACUAUUCAACCUGGAUGUUUAUCAGUUUUGCUUAACAAGGUAGUCCAACAAAUGUUUUGAUGACUAAAUAUUAUAAUUACUAUUCAGGACUUCAAAUAAGGUAAGGCAAUUUUUUAAAUAGUUAUACAUUUUAUUAACUACAUAAUCAAAGCAUGGUAAACUUCCUUUUUUUUACAACCACAACAAAUGUUUAUCACACUUUGUAAAAGUUGAUGGGAUGGGAUGAUAUGAGAUAGGAGGAAAGAAACCAAUAUCUUAAUGGAUGACAUGGUAGAGCUCAUAGAUACACCAAAGUUCAUGACCAUGGCUGUAGUAUCAGGAACCAUCAAGGUUGAUGCACCUGAUUAGAGUUGAAAUCAAUUAAAAGUCAACUGAUUUAUCAAUUGAUUUAAUAAAUUCUUGUUGUUUACACAUUAGUAUUAGUGCUGUGAUUAGAAAGUCGUAAAAAGUAAUAAAAAACAUUAGACUAUUCUUCAUCUAUACAAUUAAUGUAUGUUAAAUGUGGCGAAAAUAAUUCAUGGACAGAGCAUAUAGAAAAGUAAAGGCAAAUAUUGUUUUCCUAAAUUUUUGAAAUGGUGUCACUGACUUUAAAGACCAGUCACCAAAUAUUUAAUGAUGUUAUCUGUUUCUUUGUUACAUAAAAUAAAUUACAAAAGCCUCUGAGAUUUUCCUACGAUAUUCCAUUGAAAAAAAUUACAUAAGCAGACAAGGAAAACUGAAGGUCCAUAUUGACAACUAUUUUAGUUAUGAAACACAAGAGUAGAUAAGCUAUAUGGUUUUCACUUCUAAAAAUACCAAGGUUAGAUAAUUAUAAUCAUUGAAUGAUUGUUGUCUGGGAGUAAUUUUUAACACAAUACUAUACUAACAGGUAUAUGUCGUAUAAAAACACUUAUAAUGUUGUUAAUAAUGGUAUGUUUUUAAGUAUGAUAAAUAAAAAUAGGUAAAUGUAAAUAAACUUGUGUAGGAUAAUUGAUAUCCUGCACAUUCCUUUUAUUAUUUAAUGUUGAAGAACGGUUAGAUUUAUCAUUAAUAAAAAAACAAAUUAAUCGAGUAAAUUGAGGUACCAAAUCAUUAGGUAUUAGUCUGAUUUAUAAUUAUUACUAUUAGGUCUCUCACACUUGUUGAGACAUGAACUUAGAUAAAUUUAAUAUAUAAGAUCUCUCUUAUUUUGUUCAUAGUGUUAAUAUCUGUGAAAUAAAUAGUAGAAUAGCUCAGCCAUCACUCCAGUAUAUACCACUUUCCACAAGUACCAUCGACAGAGGUGUGCAAAGGUCGUUCCAGUCUCGGAACUGUCGCACCGAUUCUGUUGUAAGGGAAUGCCUUUUUGUAACGUUGUGUCACAUGUAUAGGAUUUUCGUCAUUGCAACAUAAAUAAGUCAAAAGAUGUUCCAAUUAAUAAUCAGUAGUGGUAAUUCUAAUGUUUUUACAAACAAUAUACAACAUUUAUUUAGUCUUGUUUGGGCUGAAUAUUACAAACUACAUCAAGUACAGGCUUAUCAAAUAUAUUGAUGUAUAGUUUUAUUAAUAUCAAAAUUAUUAAUAUUUAUAAUUAAUCACAUAAAAUAGAAAAGUUUUUGAAACAUUUUUUGAAAACUAGAGAUUAAAAUUGGGGAUAAAUAAAAAUUGUAAAAACAUUUUCACAUAUUAAAACCUGCUGAAUCCAGCUAUAGUAUAAAAGAUUGAAGGGAGGGGGAGAAAGGUGACAAUAAUAAAUGUAGCCUGUCUGGACUCGUUGCAGUGUUUAGUGCCACUAUUAUCUCAUCGUUUCAGUUCUUGUCCCAGUACCAGUCCAGGCAUUCUUUACAAUGGCCAGGCUGUAGUUACAGUUCCAGUGAAUAUUUUACUUUUUUGUGACCACGAGAGGCAGUUUCAGUUAUGACCCAAGUCUAACCAUUGUCUACAAGUCAAUUUUGCACAGAAAUAACUGAUGAACAUGUUACUGUGUCAAACGCCAUUCUGCGCAAGGCAUUCUUUACAAUGGCCAGGCUGUAGUUACAGUUCCAGUGAAUAUUUUACUUUUUUGUGACCACGAGAGGCAGUUUCAGUUAUGACCCAAGUCUAACCAUUGUCUACAAGUCAAUUUUGCACAGAAAUAACUGAUGAACAUGUUACUGUGUCAAACGCCAUUCUGCGCAAGGCAUUCUUUACAAUGACCAGGCUGUAGUUACAGUUCCAGUGAAUAUUUUACUUUUUUGUGACCACGAGAGGCAGUUUCAGUUAUGGCCCACUUCUAACCAUUGUCUACAAGUCAAUUUUGCACAGAAAUAACUGAUGAACAUGUUACUGUGUCAAACGCCAUUCUGCGCAAGGCAUUCUUUACAAUGGCCAGGCUGUAGUUACAGUUCCAGUGAAAUAUUUUACUUUUUUGUGACCACGAGAGGCAGUUUCAGUUAUGACCCAAGUCUAACCAUUGUCUACAAGUCAAUUUUGCACAGAAAUAACUGAUGAACAUGUUACUGUGUCAAACGCCAUUCUGCGCAAGGCAUUCUUUACAAUGGCCAGGCUGUAGUUACAGUUCCAGUAAAAUAUUUUACUUUUUUGUGACCACGAGAGGCAGUUUCAGUUAUGACCCAAGUCUAACCAUUGUCUACAAGUCAAUUUUGCACAGAAAUAACUGAUGAACAUGUUACUGUGUCAAACGCCAUUCUGCGCAAGGCAUUCUUUACAAUGGCCAGGCUGUAGUUACAGUUCCAGUGAAUAUUUUACUUUUUUGUGACCACGAGAGGCAGUUUCAGUUAUGACCCACUUCUAACCAUUGUCUACAAGUCAAUUUUGCACAGAAAUAACUGAUGAACAUGUUACUGUGUCAAACGCCAUUCUGCGCAAGGCAUUCUUUACCAGGCUGUAGUUACAGUUCCAGUGAAUAUUUUACUUUUUUGUGACCAUGAGAGGCAGUUUCAGUUAUGACCCAAGUCUAACCAUUGUCUACAAGUCAAUUUUGCACAGAAAUAACUGAUGAACAUGUUACUGUGUCAAACGCCAUUCUGCGCAAGGCAUUCUUUACCAGGCUGUAGUUACAGUUCCAGUGAAUAUUUUACUUUUUUGUGACCAUGAGAGGCAGUUUCAGUUAUGACCCACUUCUAACCAUUGUCUACAAGUCAAUUUUGCACAGAAAUAACUGAUGAACAUGUUACUGUGUCAAACGCCAUUCUGCGCAAGGCAUUCUUUACAAUGGCCAGGCUGUAGUUACAGUUCCAGUGAAUAUUUUACUUUUUUGUGACCAUGAGAGGCAGUUUCAGUUAUGACCCAAGUCUAACCAUUGUCUACAAGUCAAUUUUGCACAGAAAUAACUGAUGAACAUGUUACUGUGUCAAACGCCAUUCUGCGCAAGGCAUUCUUUACAAUGGCCAGGCUGUAGUUACAGUUCCAGUGAAUAUUUUACUUUUUUGUGACCAUGAGAGGCAGUUUCAGUUAUGACCCAAGUCUAACCAUUGUCUACAAGUCAAUUUUGCACAGAAAUAACUGAUGAACAUGUUACUGUGUCAAACGCCAUUCUGCGCAAGGCAUUCUUUACAAUGGCCAGGCUGUAGUUACAGUUCCAGUGAAUAUUUUACUUUUUUGUGACCAUGAGAGGCAGUUUCAGUUAUGACCCAAGUCUAACCAUUGUCUACAAGUCAAUUUUGCACAGAAAUAACUGAUGAACAUGUUACUGUGUCAAACGCCAUUCUGCGCAAGGCAUUCUUUACAAUGGCCAGGCUGUAGUUACAGUUCCAGUGAAUAUUUUACUUUUUUGUGACCAUGAGAGGCAGUUUCAGUUAUGACCCAAGUCUAACCAUUGUCUACAAGUCAAUUUUGCACAGAAAUAACUGAUGAACAUGUUACUGUGUCAAACGCCAUUCUGCGCAAGGCAUUCUUUACAAUGGCCAGGCUGUAGUUACAGUUCCAGUGAAUAUUUUACUUUUUUGUGACCAUGAGAGGCAGUUUCAGUUAUGACCCAAGUCUAACCAUUGUCUACAAGUCAAUUUUGCACAGAAAUAACUGAUGAACAUGUUACUGUGUCAAACGCCAUUCUGCGCAAGGCAUUCUUUACAAUGGCCAGGCUGUAGUUACAGUUCCAGUGAAUAUUUUACUUUUUUGUGACCACGAGAGGCAGUUUCAGUUAUGACCCAAGUCUAACCAUUGUCUACAAGUCAAUUUUGCACAGAAAUAACUGAUGAACAUGUUACUGUGUCAAACGCCAUUCUGCGCAAGGCAUUCUUUACAAUGGCCAGGCUGUAGUUACAGUUCCAGUAAAAUAUUUUACUUUUUUGUGAUCACGAGAGGCAGUUUCAGUUAUGACCCAAGUCUAACCAUUGUCUACAAGUCAAUUUUUCACAGAAAUAACUGAUGAACAUGUUACUGUGUCAAACGCCAUUCUGCGCAAGGCAUUCUUUACAAUGGCCAGGCUGUAGUUACAGUUCCAGUGAAUAUUUUACUUUUUUGUGACCACGAGAGGCAGUUUCAGUAAAUGAGCCACUUCUAACCAUUGUCUACAAGUCAAUUUUGCACAGAAAUAACUGAUGAACAUGUUACUGUGUCAAACGCCAUUCUGCGCAAGGCAUUCUUUACAAUGGCCAGGCUGUAGUUACAGUUCCAGUGAAUAUUUUACUUUUUUGUGACCACGAGAGGCAGUUUCAGUAAAUGAGCCACUUCUAACCAUUGUCUACAAGUCAAUUUUGCACAGAAAUAACUGAUGAACAUGUUACUGUGUCAAACGCCAUUCUGCGCUUGCUGUUUUGUUGUAACCAGUGAAUAGGUUAGGUGAACGUCAAUUAGAGAUCAAAUGAGAUUAUGUCAAAUUGAACGGGAAGUGAAAAAGUUGCUUCAUGUAGAAAUGUACAACUGCCAGUUAUAUUCAUGAAAAAGGAACAUGUUACUUCAAAAGAAAAUUGUUUAAAAAUCCUACUUUCGUGCUUUUGUUUUACGUAUUAACAAAAUUUAAGAACUUUUGUUCAAUUUGAGGAAUUAUUAGUUUUUGUGAGACCAUCUCUAUUAUCCUUCAAGUAUAUUAAAAAAUGGGCUGCACUUCUAGGAGUGGCCCAUUGAGUUCCAUAUUGUGGGAACUAGUGGUUAUUUAUGUCCCAUUAAGUUAUAUUUAAAAUAGAUUUCAUAGAAAUAUUCCAAUUGCAAUCACCCAAUCUGACACAAAAACCACCCCCAUUCAAAAAUAUAUUUGAUAUAUUUGUAGGCUCAUGAAAUGUAGUCCAGGCUUUUAAAGAUCAUAACUGCUUUCAUUUCUAAAUAUUUAAAUAAAACUGAAUGUGGGAUGGAAGUUACACAUGCCUUGGAGAAGUUUCUUAGCCAGAUUUUUUGAGACUAUUACCUACACAAUAAAAACUGAAAAUAUUAACUGUCUAAGUUUCUUCCAACAGUUUUAUUACUGUAAUAAGUACUUUUAUUACUGAACAUAGUUUAUAUAAUUCUAUUAAGGCUUAAAAUGUUGGAUGCUCGUGUUUUGAAAGGGAAUAUUUAUACUUCAGCUAUUUGUAUCUUGGAGAGAAGCUGAAAAGUUAAAAAAGCUGAAAUAUAAGAAAAAUUAGCAGCAAUACAUGUUAACAUAAUCACUACCAUAAUUUCUGACAGAUUACAAUGAAACCUGUCACAGUUAUGUAUUAAACACUCGUCUUGAACGAUUUUGUGAACCAUAUGCGUUCAGUGGGUAAUAUGGCAGCUUAUUGUAUUAAAGUGUGAACUAUUAAUUAUCUUACAAAACAGAUAACUUAAUUUAACUAUCUAAAAUUAUGGGGAUUCACAGUAAAAAUUGUUUACCUAAUUAUGAACCCACAUAGGGCAAGACAUUUAUAGGGACCGCUUUGUGAUGCUAUUUAGAUAUUUGUGAGUUUCAAUGUUGUGGGUCUUCUUAUUAUAUAUAUAUAUAUAUAUAUAUAUAUAUAAAAAUUUGUCAGCAAUAAAAUUACUUAUAGUAACAACUACAUUAAAAAAUUACCCUAAAACUAUGAGGCAUCUUCAAUUUGAUAAUUAUAGAGUGAUAACAACUUAUGAAAUUUAUCUGUUUUCAACAGUGCACGAGGAUAUUUUAUGUUAUCAGUAAAAAUGCUGAUGAUUACAAAUUUUCUGAGUAAUCGUAUGGAAUAUUAAAUAAUAAAUUCGUCAAAGUAAUGUUUCAGAGUCAAUUAAAGUUAUAACAUUCUUAGUGUUAUCAUUAUAAUGUAGUUCUGUUGCUUGGUAAAAAAUAUAGAGCAACUUCAGAACCCUAUUUAAAAAGGGAUGUACUUUGACCCUUACAAAAUCCUGGAGAUGGCAAAUAGUUAGUGUCCCCAUUGUGGGUUUGUAUAGUGGGGGGGAUGGAAAUUUCCCACUGGGGAGCCUGGCCUCAGCUGUCUGACAGUAUUCUGCUUGUCAGUUUUGCCUUUUCUGUGAAAGAGUGCACAUCUCCUCCCAGUGCUUGGUGUUGGUUUGCUUUAUUAAAGUUGCUGCAUUCACACUGAACUCAUCAUGGCUUCGAAGAUCCGCAAUUACAACACCAUCAACAACAAUUUAGAGGGCGUAACAUGCAAUCUGAAUGUUCACACGGGUAGGAAGAUGAAAGAGGAAAGACAGCCACUGUUGGUUUGGUUACUUUAUGUCUCUAGCAGUAAUAAUGAUAUCUUGCUCCACCGUAUCGGUGGGUUGAGGACUGUACUGACAAACGUUUGUUGUG